rnacentral:lncRNA from 1 species
AAUGUUGACUGAAGGAAAGAGUUCAGUUUAGGGUUUAAAACCCUAAUGCUGACUGAAUGGAAAGAGUUCAGUUUAGGGUUUAAAACACUAAUGCUGAUUGAAGGGAAAAGUUCAGUUUAGGGUUUAAAACCCUAAUGCUGACUAAAGGAAAAAGUUCAGUUUAGAGUUUAAAACCCUAAUGCUGACUAAAUGGAAAAAGUUCAGUUUAGGGUUUAAAACCCUAAUGCUGACUAAAGGGAAUAGUUCAGUUUAGGGUUUAAAACCCUAAUGCUGACUAAGGAAAAGUUCAGUUUAGGGUUUAAAACCCUAAUGCUGACUGAAUGGAAAGAGUUCAGUUUAGGGUUUAAAACCCUAAUGCUGAUUGAAGGGAAAAAUUCAGUUUAGGGUUUAAAACCCUAAUGCUGACUAAAGGAAAAGAGUUCAGUUUAGGGUUUAAAACCCUAAUGCUGACUAAAGCAAAAGAGUUUAGUUUAGGGUUUAAAACCCUAAUGCUGACUGAAGGAAAAGAGUUCAGUUUAGGGUUUAAAACCCUAAUGUUGACUGAAGGAAAAGAGUUCAGUUUAGGGUUUAAAACCCUAAU